GCAGUCGAGCGACAGGAAUUAGAGAGCUUGCUCCUUAUGACAGUUAGCGGCGGACGGGUGAGUAACACGUGGGCAACCUAGCCCUAUAGUAUUGGGAUAACUCCGGGAAACCGGGGCUAAUACCGAAUAAUCUCUUUUGCUUCAUGGUGAAAGACUGAAAGACGGUUUCGGCUGUCGCUUUAGGAUGGGCCCGCGGCGCAUUAGCUAGUUGGUGAGGUAACGGCUCACCAAGGCGACGAUGCGUAGCCGACCUGAGAGGGUGAUCGGCCACACUGGGACUGAAACACGGCCCAGACUCCUACGGGAGGCAGCAGUAGGGAAUCUUCCACAAUGGGCGAAAGCCUGAUGGAGCAGCGCCGCGUGAGUGAAGAAGGUUUUCGGAUCAUAAAACUCUGUUGUAAGGGAAGAACAAGUGCCCCAUUAGCUGGUUUGUCCCCUAAAGGGGAA
rnacentral:rRNA from 1 species